CCGCAANUUGGCGAGAAGUCCAUUGAACCUUAUCAUUUAGAGGAAGGAGAAGUCGUAACAAGGUUUCCGUAGGUGAACCUGCGGAAGGAUCAUUG
rnacentral:rRNA from 1 species